CUAGCCUAGACCUUUGUGAUAUACGAGAAUUCUUGGAGAUUUGUGAGCAACGUUCAGAGGUUGUUCGAAAGGAAAAAUCUCCAGCCAUGUGAUUUGCAGUGCGCGGUCGGCCUCGAAGUAGAUUACAACUUCUUCUUUUUUAAUUUAGAUUGAGCAUGAAGAUUAAAUUCAUGGAGAUAGAUUUUAAAUGAGGGCAACUACCUAGUUAUUCUUGGUUUUCUUUUUUGAAAUCGUUAUUAAUGGUUGUUAACUAUUGUUCUAAAGGUAGUACCCUAACUAGUUUUGGUUUUACUUGUUUUGUAGUAUUCUAUGUGAUUUACUUUUUUUACCACUA